CUUGUGGAUCAACAUGCCUACAAAAUUAAUGCACAAGAUCCCAUUAGAACUCCAUAGUUAAGUGCACUAGGGAUAGAGUAAUAUUGGGAUGGGUGACCUCCCAAGAAGUCCUAAUGUUUUACAUGC
rnacentral:rRNA from 1 species